rnacentral:rRNA from 1 species
UACGUAGGCAGCGAGCGUUGUUCGGAGUUACUGGGCGUAAAGGGUGUGUAGGCGGUUGUUUAAGUUUGGUGUGAAAUCUCCCGGCUCAACUGGGAGGGUGCGCCGAAUACUGAAUGACUUGGAGUGCGGGAGAGGAAAGUGGAAUUCCUGGUGUAGCGGUGAAAUGCGUAGAUAUCAGGAGGAACACCUGCGGCGAAGGCGGGUUGCUGGGCCGACACUGACGCUGAAGCGCGAAAGCCAGGGGAGCGAACGGG